UACAGAGGGGGCAAGCGUUGUUCGGAAUUACUGGGCGUAAAGGGCGCGUAGGCGGCCUGUUAAGUCGAACGUGAAAUCCCCGGGCUCAACCCGGGAACUGCGUCCGAUACUGGCAGGCUUGAAUCCGGGAGAGGGAUGCGGAAUUCCAAGUGUAGCGGUGAAAUGCGUAGAUAUCUGGAGGAACACCGGUGGCGAAGGCGGCAUCCUGGACCGGCAUUGACGCUGAGGCGCGAAAGCCAGGGGAGCAAACGGG
rnacentral:rRNA from 1 species